ensembl:lncRNA
UUUCAGUUUAUUCUUCCUUCCUUACGUAGCAUACUCAUACACUGCUUUCACAAGAAUUUAGUUUAUUCUUCCUUCCUUACGUAGCAUACUCAUACACUGCUUUCACAAGAAUUUAGUUUAUUCUUCCUUCCUUACGUAGCAUACUCGUACACUGCUUUCACAAGAAUGUAGUUUAUUCUUCCUUCCUUACGUAGCAUACUCAUACACUGCUUUCACAAGAAUUUAGUUUAUUCUUCCUUCCUUACGUAGCAUACUCAUACACUGCUUUCACAAGAAUGUAGUUUAUUCUUCCUUCCUUACGUAGCAUACUCAUACACUGCUUUCACAAGAAUGUAGUUUAUUCUUCCUUUGCCUAAAAGGCGCUUGCCUCUUUCACGCUUUAUUGAGAUGAGGUAGUGUACAGAAAAUAGGUUUUCUUUCCGGACUUGACUCUUCUCCACCAAUCGAAACAUCAAUCUUGUGUUUGGUCCUACUGGCAGCAGAUUGGCCAUUCAUACGUUUGAGUACUUUUCAGACCAGUCUAGUCUGUUCUUCUCAAUCUCAUUCACACCCCUAUGCCUGCCACAAAACCCGCCUCUGGUAUUUAAUUGCACUAAAGUGUUUUAUGGGUCAUUGGCCAGGGCUAAUGAAGGGGAACACUCUUUAUCCACUUGCUACUACCUACAUUGACAAACUGGAUGAAUCUAAGGAAGGCCUCACCCACAGUAAGUUGACCUGGUAUGGAAUAGGGUAGGGUCAGGUGGGUUUGAGUGAUAACUGCCAUCCCUCCGGCUGUUUUUAGGAGACCUGAGGUUUUGGAUGGUAGAGAGAGGGCUGAUUGGGUGUGUUUGGGGAACUGGGACUUUGUGAUUGGUGGAGAAAGAGUGGGACAAGCAGUGACGAUUAUUCGAGAUGGAUUUGUGGUUUCAGGCCUUUCCUGUACAUAUGCAACGUAAAGACAACCCUGAAACCUUUUUCAUAUAUUGUUGUGUGUCUGUUAAACAAAAAUUAAACAUUGUAAGGUAGAAUUGCUCAGAUUGUUGGUGUGCGUGUUUGAGAAGCUGUAGUUAAUAUAACAUACACAUAUAUUGCAGUUCAGGGGAAAAGUGGCGAAAUAACGUAGAUGAAUGUAAAACCUACAAAAAGAAAAAAGUUUCUUGUUGUAACGCUGGCUAGUUUCUACUGUUAGUGUACUCUGACAGAAUGACGGCACAAACAGCACAAACUGUCAUUCUGGUGCCAAAUUUUGCAUCUGCACUGUUCUUCAAGUAAAUGUGUUUUUGUAAAAUAUUCAGUGGAAAUUGUUCAAAGUAGUCCUUGUGCAUAGAGUUGUAUGGUUUGUUUAACUUUGCAAUCAUUGGUUUUGUUUGACAUACAUUUUAAAGUGAAAAAUCUUAGUCUCAGCAUAAUUCUGUUACCGUGGAAUUGCCCAUUAACCUUCUUACAUUGUGCAAUGAGACGCUUUAAUUCUAACAAGAACUAACUUGACCUUUUGGUGACCUUUCUGUGAGCCACCUGGUGUGAUCUAUUAUGAAUGCAUUUAUUGGUAUGUAGGCCUUUAUUUAGGCUGUUAUAAGGAGUCAUGAACUGUUAUGAAUGCUUAUAGCAGGCCAUAUACUGCACUACUUUAAUGUGUUUAUAAAGGUGUUAUGUAAGUGGUCAGAACCCACUGGACAAAAACUGGUUGAAUCAACAUUGUUUCCACGUCAUUUCAACAAAAACAUGAAAUGUGAUGACUUUUGAAUCAACGUGGAAAAUUGAUUGGGUUUGUAAAAUGUAAGGGAAUUUCGUUAUUUUUUCACCCAACUUUUAAACUAGAUCCAAUAACAUGGUGAAAUGUUUUGUUGAUUUCACGUUGAAUUCACAUUAGUUGACAACUCAACCAAAUGUAAAUCAAAACUAGACGAUGAAAUGACAUCUGUACCCAGUGUAUAGGAACCGUGAGCUGUUGUGAAUGCUUAUGGCAAGUCUUAUAAUACACUAUGGAGUGAUCGACUGUGCUAUGAAUGCAGUCAUAAUGUAUUGUACACAGGCGUUUCAGAAAAUGUGCUACCUACUUUUUCUGUCUCCCUGCCAAAUAAGUAUUUAUUAGAAUACAUGUUGUCAUUGUCUUUUGUGGGAGACAAAUCACCUAGGCGGCUCGGGGAUUCAAACUCGCAACCUUUCGGUUAUUGGCCCGACACUCUUAACCGCUAAGCUACAUGCCACCAAAUUGUACCUGUACCUUUCCCUCUGACUCACUUCCUCUCUAUCUCCCAAUCUAUUUUUCUCAAAUUGUUUCCCCCGUCUCUCUCUUUUAAACUAUCAGUAUUGACUGUAGUUCCACCCCCCAAAGUCAAUACCCAGUAUAUUAAGCUAACCGAGCCCUUGAAAUGUGCAGAAAGAAAGCCUUUAUUUCCUAAUGUUACAUCAUUCUAUCCUUUGUUUGCUCGUUGAAUGUCCAUGUUGAUGAGUCCAGCCCAGCAGCUCAGGAGCAGCAAAGCCAAUGGAUCUCCAACCAAAUCAAAUGUAACACAUCGUCAUCACUAUGGAGGCUCCACUCAACUCUGUGCUGUUUCUUCUAUCAUGCUCUGAAACAACACACCAAUCUGUUGUCUUGUAUCUGUUUUCUUGUUGUAACUGUCUGACUGUUGUUCUCUUGCUGUGCUGUGUCAGAGCAUUGUGGUUGGUGGGAGGGAAACAUACUUACUUUCUUUUGGUUGCUUUAUUAUCUUGUUCAUAUUGAUUGAUUGAUUGAUGUGCUCUCAUUAUGUCUGGUGCAGAAGUGUUUUAUUGCUCAUGUCUGUCUGACAUGUGCUCGAGUGGAUGGGUGACUUGAUGUCAUGAUGAUGAUGUGAUGUAAAUGUGAUAGAGAGAAAAUAAAUGCAAAUGGAUUGGAAU